AGUGAACGCUGGCGGCAGGCCUAACACAUGCAAGUCGAACGGCAGCACAAGAAACCUUUCCCUCUGAGUGUCGCGUGGGGCGGGUGUGUGAGAUGUACAUCAAUCUCCCCAUUUUCGGGGGGUAUCCCGGGGAAACCGGUACGAUAACCGCGCAUACGCUACACGGGAAAGAGCAGGAGCUUCGGACAUUUUGCACGUGUCUGAGCGCCUGCGCCGGUUUAGCUAGUUGGCGGGGUAAAGGCACACCAAGGCGACGAUCCGUAGCUGGUCUGAGAGGAUGAUCAGCCACACUGGAACUGAGACACGGUCCAGACUCCUACGGGAGGCAGCAGUGGGGAAUAUUGGGCAAUGGGCGCAAGCCUGAUCCAGCCAUGCCGCGUGUGUGAAGAAGGCCUUCGGGUUGUAAAGCCCUUUUGUUGGGAAAGAAAAGCAGCCGGUUAAUACCCGGUUGUCCUGACGGUACCCAAAGAAUAAGCACCGGCUAACUUCGUG
rnacentral:rRNA from 1 species